GUUUCACCAUCCACCAAUUGCUCAAGCUAGACAAGAAGUAGAUUUUUUUGUUUUGUUUUGUUUUUCUCUUCUCCUCCGUUUUCAUGUCCAGUCCUUGAGGAAUUCAGGUCAGUUCUAUCUCCAAAGCAUUUCUAUCUCUACUGCUACCACCCAGAUGUAGACCACCAUUAUCUCCUUCCUGUGUUCCUGUAAUAGUUUUCUAAAUGGUUUUCCUGCUUCCACGCUUGUCCCCAUUCUCCACAGCACAGCUAGAGACAUAAAUCAUACAUCAUAAAACAUCAAUCAGAUUAUUUCACUUCUCAGAAUCCUUCCGUGUCUUCUGAUUGCACCUGAAAUAAAGUCCAGACUCCUUUCCCGGCCUCCAAAGCCCUGCGUGGCAUCUGAGACCACCUCUUCAACCUCAUCCCCAACCACUCUCCCUGACUCCAAUCACACCAGCCUUUUUUCUAUUCCUCAAACACACUGAAUUUACUCUUGUUUCAAAGGACUUACUCUUCCUGGAAUAUCCUUUGGGUCCUUCUGAUCUUUGUUUACAUGUUAUCUACUCAAAGUGGCGCUUCCUAGCCACUUCUGCCUGAAGUACUCUUCUCUGUCCACCUUUC
rnacentral:lncRNA from 1 species